UACGUAGGGCGCAAGCGUUGUCCGGAAUUAUUGGGCGUAAAGAGCUCGUAGGCGGCUUGUCACGUCGGUUGUGAAAGCCCGGGGCUUAACCCCGGGUCUGCAGUCGAUACGGGCAGGCUAGAGUGUGGUAGGGGAGAUCGGAAUUCCUGGUGUAGCGGUGAAAUGCGCAGAUAUCAGGAGGAACACCGAUGGCGAAGGCAGGUCUCUGGGCCGAUACUGACGCUGAGGAGCGAAAGCGUGGGGAGCGAACAGG
rnacentral:rRNA from 1 species